rnacentral:rRNA from 1 species
AGAGUUUGAUCCUGGCUCAGGACGAACGCUGGCGGCGUGCCUAAUACAUGCAAGUCGUGCGAGGCUCUUCGGAGUCGAGCGGCGGACGGGUGAGUAACACGUGGGCAAUCUGCCCGACAGACCGGGAUAACGCUUGGAAACGAGUGCUAAUACCGGAUAGGCUCUUGCUUCGCAUGAGGCGAGAGGGAAAGCUGCUUUUG